rnacentral:rRNA from 1 species
AGAGUUUGAUCAUGGCUCAGAACGAACGUUAGCGGCGCGCCUAACACAUGCAAGUCGCACGAGAAAGGGCUUCGGCCCCGGUACAGUGGCGCACGGGUGAGUAACACGUAGAUCAUCUUCCCUCGAGUGGUGGAUAACCUUCCGAAAGGAAAGCUAAUACAGCAUAAGACCACGGCUUCGUUGAAGCUGCGGCCAAAGCAGGCCUCUACACGUAAGCUUGCGCUUGAGGAUGAGUCUGCGGCCCAUCAGCUAGUUGGUAGGGUAAUGGCCUACCAAGGCUAAGACGGGUAGCUGGUCUGAGAGGAUGAACAGCCACACUGGAACUGAGACACGGUCCAGACUCCUACGGGAGGCAGCAGUGGGAAUCUUGCGCAAUGGGCGAAAGCCUGACGCAGCGACGCCGCGUGAGCGAUGAAGGCCUUCGGGUUGUAAAGCUCUGUGGGGAGGAAAGAAUAAGUGUUGGCUAACAUCCAGCACGAUGACGGUACCUCCUUAGCAAGCACCGGCUAACUCUGUGCCAGCCGCCGCGGUAAUAC